AGUACGAGAGGACCGGGAUGGACAUACCUCUGGUGUACCAGUUGUCGUGCCAACGGCAUAGCUGGGUAGCUAUGGGUGGACGGGAUAAGUGCUGAAAGCAUCUAAGCAUGAAGCCCCCCUCAAGAUGAGAUUUCCCAACUUCGGUUAUAAGAUCCCUCAAAGAUGAUGAGGUUAAUAGGUUCGAGGUGGAAGCAUGGUGACAUGUGGAGCUGACGAAUACUAAUCGAUCGAAGACUUAAUCAAAA
rnacentral:rRNA from 1 species